GAUUUUUUUUAAUUGUUUAGGUACAAAACCAAUCUACGUUUCAUUUCAGAUUCCAAAUUGGCGUAAACAAUUAAACGAUACGAGGAAUGGCAGCCUAUUUAUAGCACCCAUAAACAAAUAGAAACGCUCCAUAGAAAAUCAAAAAGUGCUCCAUAAAGAAAGAACAUAUGUUCCAUGAAAAUGUGCAAUGUUACCCAUAAAUAAUUGAAAACGUUCCAUACUUUAUAAAAAAUGUACCGGUAAAACUUAAAAUUUUCUCAUUAAAAGUGAAAUUUUGCACCAAUAAAUAAUACUGAAAUGCCCCAUAAUAAAAUACAAAUGCUCCAUAGAAAAAUGCAAACGCUCCAUAAAAAAUUGAAAUUGUACCCAUAGAAAAUUGAAUAUUGCUCCAUAGAAAAAUUAAAUUGCACCAUAAAAAAAUUAAAUUGCACCAUAGGAAAUAGAUGAAUUCUCCAUAAGAAUUAUCAAACUGCACCAUAGAAAAUAUGAAUUGCUCCAUGAAAAAUUGAAAAUCCUCCAUAGAUAGCAUAUUCUUAUAAUUUAAUUCGGCAGGGCUGAAUUGCUUUACAUUGCACUGCUUUAGUGGUGCAAAUGUUCAAAGUUAUGGAGAAUUUUCAAUUUUUUAUGGAGCAAAUUGUAUUUUAUGUGGUGCAGUUUGCUAAUACUUAUGGAGCAUUCAUAUAUUUUCUAUGGUGCAAUUUCUAUUUUUUAUGGUGCAAUUUAAUUUUUCUAUGGAGCAAUAUUCAAUUUUCUAUGGGUACAAUUUCAAUUUUUUAUGGAGCGUUUGCAUUUUUCUAUGGAGCAUUUGUAUUUUAUUAUGGAGCAUUUCAGUAUUAUUUAUUGGUGCAAAAUUUCACUUUUAAUGAGAAAUUUUUUUGUUUUACCGGUACAUUUUUUAUAAAGUAUGGAACGUUUUCAAUAGACCAUUCCCGUGAAAUUUUUUUUAUGUAUUUAACGGCUUUCCGCCAAUUUAUAGAGCAAACUUUCCCAAGGAACCCCUAUGUUUUGAAGCCUCUAACUAUUGAAAAACAGUGAAAAACCUGCGAAGUAGCACUUUAGCUCUACUGUCUCCUAUUAAUUAUUUCACCCCAAUUUCCGUUGUACCCCAAUUUCCUCUAUGCGUCGACCACAGCGAUGUGGUGAGUUUCUAAUCAGCAAACUGUCAAACGUUUGUUUUGUUUUGAAGUCAGUAUCAGUUUUUCUCAUUUCCGCGCAUCGAAAAAAAAAUCGACGGGGGAAUUUCAACGUUUCACCAUCCUAGGUUUCACCGUGUACGGUUGGGAUUCCAUUGGCCCAGUUUCCCGGAUCUACGAGCAGCACAUCGGAAUCGGAUAUUCAGGUAGAUGGCGAGAUUGCCAGCCAGCAAUCAAAUCGUGCCGGCGGAAUCGAGACGUUGUCACCGCAUUCACGUUGGCCAUUUUUAAGCCCAUCUAGUGAAGAACCCGGGUGGCGGUUGGCGGAGGAGCAGCUGAUUGAACUGAUUCGCAGCCGAGAACUAGAUGGAGAUUGCCAUUUCGCCGCUGCAAUUCGUUGGCCUUCAGGCGCUUACCAAGGGACAUCCUUUGUAAGCACUCUUCCGCAAUACAGCGCAGUUCUUCGGCCAAAGCGAAAUCAUUGAUUCCGUGAAGUUUUUCGUUGUAUUCACAGGUCUACAUCACGUUGUGAUGACAACGCACGAGACGAUCCACAAGGAGCGCAACCCGGCCAUCAACCCUUGGCACAUAGUAUUGGAAAUGUUCGACAAGCAUACCGUCGGCAACCCGAGGCAGUUCAUCAACCUGGAGUACUUUAUGCAUCCCUUACAGCAUCCACGGAGUGCGUCCUAUUGCGGCACGGUGUAGCAAGCCGAUCGGUUGGUUCGAGUGGCCGACAUGGCGGUGCUAUAAUGCUGGCGAUGACCCGAAUUUUCCGAAGGUAAUGCCUAGGGAUGCGCCAUGCCGAGCAGGAUGUCUCUAGCGGUGUGCAAUGAAAAGAAAUACUUCGAGCAUCCGCUGACGAAAAAAUUAUGGGUUGUUAAGGAUGAAAAUAUGAGUGUGCAUUUUGUUAGCCAA